GACGAACGCUGGCGGCGUGCUUAACACAUGCAAGUCGAACGGAAAGGCCCCUUCGGGGGUACUCGAGUGGCGAACGGGUGAGUAACACGUGAGUAACCUGCCCUUGACUUCGGGAUAACUUCAGGAAACUGGGGCUAAUACCGGAUAGGAAUCCUUGCUGCAUGGUGGGGGUUGGAAAGCUUCGGCGGUUUUGGAUGGACUCGCGGCUUAUCAGCUUGUUGGUGGGGUAGUGGCUUACCAAGGCUUUGACGGGUAGCCGGCCUGAGAGGGCGACCGGCCACAUUGGGACUGAGAUACGGCCCAGACUCCUACGGGAGGCAGCAGUGGGGAAUAUUGCACAAUGGGCGGAAGCCUGAUGCAGCAACGCCGCGUGCGGGAUGACGGCCUUCGGGUUGUAAACUGCUUUCAGCAGGGGCGAAGCUUGUGGUGACGGUACCUGCAGAAGAAGCACCGGCUAACUACGUG
rnacentral:rRNA from 1 species